GACGAACGCUGGCGGCGUGCCUAAUACAUGCAAGUAGAACGCUGAAGAGAGGAGCUUGCUCUUCUUGGAUGAGUUACGAACGGGUGAGUAACGCGUAGGUAACCUGCCUGGUAGCGGGGGAUAACUAUUGGAAACGAUAGCUAAUACCGCAUAAAAUUGAUUAUUGCAUGAUAAUUAAUUGAAAGAUGCAAUUGCAUCACUACCAGAUGGACCUGCGUUGUAUUAGCUAGUUGGUGAGGUAACGGCUCACCAAGGCGACGAUACAUAGCCGACCUGAGAGGGUGAUCGGCCACACUGGAACUGAGACACGGCCCAGACUCCUACGGGAGGCAGCAGUAGGGAAUCUUCGGCAAUGGGGGGAACCCUGACCGAGCAACGCCGCGUGAGUGAAGAAGGUUUUCGGAUCGUAAAGCUCUGUUGUAAGAGAAGAACGGGUGUGAGAGUGGAAAGUUCACACUGUGACGGUAUCUUACCAGAAAGGGACGGCUAACUACGUGCCAGCAGCCGCGGUAAUACGUAGGUCCCGAGCGUUGUCCGGAUUUAUUGGGCGUAAAGCGAGCGCAGGCGGUUAGAUAAGUCUGAAGUUAAAGGCUGUGGCUUAACCAUAGUAUGCUUUGGAAACUGUUUAACUUGAGUGCAGAAGGGGAGAGUGGAAUUCCAUGUGUAGCGGUGAAAUGCGUAGAUAUAUGGAGGAACACCGGUGGCGAAAGCGGCUCUCUGGUCUGUAACUGACGCUGAGGCUCGAAAGCGUGGGGAGCAAACAGGAUUAGAUACCCUGGUAGUCCACGCCGUAAACGAUGAGUGCUAGGUGUUAGGCCCUUUCCGGGGCUUAGUGCCGCAGCUAACGCAUUAAGCACUCCGCCUGGGGAGUACGACCGCAAGGUUGAAACUCAAAGGAAUUGACGGGGGCCCGCACAAGCGGUGGAGCAUGUGGUUUAAUUCGAAGCAACGCGAAGAACCUUACCAGGUCUUGACAUCCCUCUGACCGCUCUAGAGAUAGAGUUUUCCUUCGGGACAGAGGUGACAGGUGGUGCAUGGUUGUCGUCAGCUCGUGUCGUGAGAUGUUGGGUUAAGUCCCGCAACGAGCGCAACCCCUAUUGUUAGUUGCCAUCAUUCAGUUGGGCACUUUAGCGAGACUGCCGGUAAUAAACCGGAGGAAGGUGGGGAUGACGUCAAAUCAUCAUGCCCCUUAUGACCUGGGCUACACACGUGCUACAAUGGCUGGUACAACGAGUCGCAAGCCGGUGACGGCAAGCUAAUCUCUGAAAGCCAGUCUCAGUUCGGAUUGUAGGCUGCAACUCGCCUACAUGAAGUCGGAAUCGCUAGUAAUCGCGGAUCAGCACGCCGCGGUGAAUACGUUCCCGGGCCU
rnacentral:rRNA from 1 species